AUCUCUUCAUCGGCCUGUUGUUGAGUCUCAGAUCAGUGAGUGUUGUACAGAUGUGCUUGUUGUCAUGAAGUCUAAAGGGUUUAAACCCAGUCAAAAGGCACAUAAGACGCCCACAUUGUUAAUAAAUGCACAGACAGUAUCACGCUGUGCUCAAAGCAACGAAACACUAUAUGAAAUGUUAAAUAUAGAUCAGAAAGCACCGAACAGGACGACGCCAAAUGGGCUAGUGUGCGCAGGCAGAUUUUUGCACAUCAAGUCCAUCUUCUAGAGCAUAAACUACGGCCUUUUGUGUUUUGUAGGCUCAUUUGAACGACUUAAGAUGCCCAGAUGUGUUGUCUAGAGUAAAGAGGAGCGUAUUUUGGAGUUGGAAACCGGUAACGCUCUCCUUCAUUUGAGACUCGCUGAGGUAUGGAUGACGCAAAUUCUAUGUGAAAUGCAUCAAACUCCACUA
ensembl:lncRNA